UCCAAGUUUGUUGUGCCGGUUAGUAUUGUAUUGAUAUAUAGUCUUGUACCAUACUGACACACGAUAUAUUUUACCAUCUUAUUGUACCGCAUUUUGAGUGGAAGUGAAUCGCCACUUUCUCAAGUUCCAUAAUUAAACAGUCCUUUUCACAUAUCUAAGUCCUAUGACGCGGUCUACAUAUUAAAUGGCAGAAGGGGAGCGAUUGAUAAUUGAAAAACUUGUGCAGGAUUGCAGGGUACAAAUUGAUUUGGGUGUUUGUGAAGAGGAACAUUUUUUUUUUUUAGCAGAUAUUUCAGGAGGUGAAAAUGAUGAAAAUCAAAACAUAGAAGUGAUGAAUGAUCAAAGUAUCCCCCGGUUUUGGGUAUGAGGCGGUGCUUGUGAGAUAAGAUGGGAAGAUAAUUCCGAGAACAUGGAGGGUGCAAAACAAAAUUAUCAUUGUUUAUGAUUAGGUAGACAUUUACAUAUUUCAGAUACGUAAGGAACUUAUACUGCAUAGUGAUCAGAAGAGAGAUAAAGCAUCAUCAAAUUUGUUAUGAUGUUGGCCAUCGAAGAAGAUUUCAAGAACCGGCUCCAGGAGUAAUUUCUGUUUUAGAUUUUUUUUAAAUUUUAUAAGAUAUGUAGUACAUUUUGGCUUAUGAUUAACGACAAUAUGGAGGACUUUGUUUCUUACAUACUAUGUUGACAAACGUGACACAUGGAGGAUUUGUAUUAGUGUAAUGUGAUUUUGGAUUUUAUGUGAUGGUAUAUUAAAUAAUAUUUAUUUG